GAUCAACGCUGGCGGCGUGCUUAACACAUGCAAGUCGAACGAAGUUUUUCUUUCGGGAGGAACUUAGUGGCGGACGGGUGAGUAACGCGUGGGUAACCUGCCCUGUACAGGGGGACAACAGCUGGAAACGGCUGCUAAUACCGCAUAAGCCCUUAGCACUGCAUGGUGCAUAGGGAAAAGGAGCAAUCCGGUACAGGAUGGACCCGCGUCUGAUUAGCCAGUUGGCAGGGUAACGGCCUACCAAAGCGACGAUCAGUAGCCGAUCUGAGAGGAUGUACGGCCACAUUGGAACUGAGACACGGCCCAGACUCCUACGGGAAGCAGCAGUGGGGAAUAUUGCACAAUGGAGGAAACUCUGAUGCAGCGACGCCGCGUGAGUGAAGAAGUAUUUCGGUAUGUAAAGCUCUAUCAGCAGGAAAGAAAAUGACGGUACCUGACUAAGAAGCACCGGCUAAAUACGUG
rnacentral:rRNA from 1 species